rnacentral:lncRNA from 1 species
ACUCACCCGAGGGCUUACUGAGUUGAGGUGCUUUUCGUUGCGACUUGCCCAAAGGUAGCAUUGAGGAACUGUAAGCCUAGUGGGCAGCUCAACUGGACAAUGAAUGAUACUUCCCAAAAUGGCCAGGAGAGACCUGAGACCCACUUCAGGCCAAGAGUAGACUUGGAAACAGGAUUUGCAAGAGAAGAAUUGUAUGAUACAUUUACACCUGCAGGUACAGCAAGCACCUCUAACUGUUUCUAUGACAGAUUUUCAGCUUGUGCUCCUGUCUCUAAGUUACCUGCCAGAGGACACUGGGAAAAGUGUCAGCACCGUGAGAAGUACAGAUGAAAAACUUUGUCUCCUCUUUUAUGCCAAGCACUGCCUAUGCAGUGGUGCAGGAGAUGAUAAAUCACAUGCCAAGCUCACCCCUGAACUGCCUCAGGAAGGGAAGCAAGAAAAUGUGUAACAAUGAAUGAAGAAAAGGAACUCUGGCAGCGAAAGGAGGCUUGGCAUAUCGCUCAGUGGUAGACCACAUCUAGCACACAUGAGGUCGUGGGUUCAAUCCCUAGAACAGUAAACACAGAAACCAAAAAAGACAGGGGACUGGAGUGACACUUUUGGAUUUUUGGUUUCAUUACAGAACACAGAAAUAGUAUGAGAUUGUGCUUUCAUUUUAAUCCCUGGUGUGGGAUGUGGGGCUGCUUCAGAUUGUCCAUAGCAGCUGACUAUGAUGGGCUGUCUCAGGAGUAUGAUUUUGCCAGCGGCAAAUAGUUUCCACGAUUGUGUGAUGUUUGGAAUUCUGGGGACCUUUCGGAGAUUAUAUACAUGCUAGGGCUCUGAGAGGCUGCAUGGGUUGUUGGUUAGUUGUUGUUGGUCCAGUUUGCAAAGUAGCCAUGCACAAAGAAGAAACUACAACAAGAAGAAAUUAGAUAUUCUGGUGGGAAAGACCAAACUUGGCGCAAGGAACUCAAUGCACCUAAUCAGCAGGAAGUAGUCUAACAUUGCUCCUUUCCAACCCCUGACAGUAUUUAGGGAUAUUGUUCAUUUCAUCUCUAACCCCCCUUUUUUCUGUCUUAUUUAGUGUUAGGACAUUGAAAGGGUAGAAGAAAAUGGGUGGGAGAAACAAAAAGAACCCAUAAAGUAUCAAAAGACAGAUGCAAGGGACUAAUGCUAUGGUUUACCUUUGAGCAGGUGUCAGAUCAUCUGACUUUAGCUUCCUACUCAACUUAUUCUUUGAUAAAGCAGGCUCUCCAUGUAAUAUUACCCACACAAUUGGCUCCUGGAAGUGCCUUGCUAUGUGCACUUCCAAUUGCUGUCAGCAUUUUGGCUAUAUUCAUCACCAG